UAAAUUACACUUUUGUCUUAAAAAUUUUCUUAGAAACCUAAAUGUUUUUUUAUAAUUGUGGCAACGCUACAUAAAUGAUUAAGAGAAAAGGAAACUUCAAAAAACCUUAUUUAAUAAAAACAAUUUUGAUUGGUACUACCUUCUUUUUUCUACUAUGACAAACACUUUAUUGAAAUAAAUUUAAUUUUCAGUAAAAUUUUUUACUGAUUCAAUAAAUGUUUUUGUUUGAGUUUUAUUUUUUUGUCAGCAUAUGGAAUACAAGAAUAAAACAAGUUUUUGAACGUACUAAAAUGAAUUGAUAUAAUUCUUAAUUGGGGUAUAACAUUUAAUUUAUAAGUGUUUUUUCACAGUACUAAAUAGUAGUUUCUAGAAUGUGAAAUAAAAUUAUUUUUGGGAUGGUUGGUAGCGCAAGGCGGGAGUGCCACAGAGGUGUUUAAAUGUCCAUCAGGAUCGAUGAUAAAUGCUCAAAAAACUUGUAAUGUAUUGUAAAUAUGUAUUGUUACAAUAGUCAAAUAAACGUAGUUCCAUUUAAAUUAUAUGAAUAAGUGUUGUUAAACAUCAAACAUUGUACUUCAAAAUGAACCAAUUUAAAUGAAUAAGUUUAAAUAAAACCUAAACAGAUAAGAUUGUAUAUUUUU